rnacentral:rRNA from 1 species
GAUGAACGCUGGCGGCGUGCCUAAUACAUGCAAGUCGAGCGAACAGACGAGGAUCUUGCUCCUCUGACGUUAGCGGCGGACGGGGGAGUAACACGUGGAUACCCUCCCUAUAAGACUGGGAUAACUUCGGGAAACCGGCGCUAAUACCGGAUAAUAUAUUGAACCGCAUGGUUCAAUAGUGAAAGACGGUUUUCCUGUCACUUAUAGAUGGAUCCGCGCCGCAUUAGCUAGUUGGUAAGGUAACGGCUUACCAAGGCAACGAUGCGUAGCGGACCGGAGAGGGGGAUCGGCCCCACUGGAACUGCGACACGGUCCAGACUCCUACGGGAGGCAGCAGUAGGGAAUCUUCCGCAAUGGGAGAAAGCCUGACGGAGCAAAGCCGCGUGGGUGAUGAAGGGCUUCGGAUCGUAAAACUCUGUUAUUAGGGAAGAACAAAUGUGUAAGCAACGAGGCAGGUCUUGACGGUACCUAAACAGAAAGCAACGGCUAACUACGUG